GUGCUGUCAUCAUCUUUGGACACCCCUUCUUCUUCUAGGGCUUCAUCUUCGAAGAAAAAGAACGACUAGUUCUUCGUUGAGUACCAGAGCUUCUUAGACGAUGAUGGCUCUACUCCCUUGGGAGAACACAUCAAACCCGAUUUCAUUAGGCCUUUGCCUCAUCCUUCAGAGUCUAACCUUGUUCUUUCCUUCGAAAUAUACAAUGUCGUCGAUGCGUCUUAAUGUGAUGGAUGGUGGAUUGGUGUCAUCACCAUAGUUCUCAACAAUUCCAAGUUCGUAGUCACCUUCUAGAACCGUCCCGACAAGAUCGAGUUUGGGUUUUCGGAGUUGCAAGUUCACCAGGAGUGGAUCGACAGCAAAUGGGUUUGACCCAAAAAGCAGUUGCUGCAUAUUCAAAUGGCCAUGUGAAAGUGUAUGGGUUCCUAGAUCCACUGGAACUAGAUACUUGAGGUUCACUACUUCUGGCCUCUGGAUAGCAUUAGAAUAAAAGAGUUUGAUAAUGUGUGGAAUGAGGUUACAAGACAAUCUAGAGGAAGGCUCACCUUUGAUACUAUUCCUGUCAUGUUUGGAAGGAGUAUGAGGAGACAAGUGAAGAACCUGAGCAAGCUGCCCCUGAAGAAAGUGAACAACAAGAAGUUGAAGAAGCUGAAGAUAAACAAACACUAGUAGAUACACAACAAGAGCCUGAGCCUGAGCCUGAGCCUGAGCCUGAGGAGGAGGAAGUUCCACCAUUCAUAUCAACUGACCAAACUAAGGAUCUGUUAGGUUUAAAUGAAAUAAAUCCUAAAGCUGCCUAACUAGAAGAAAGUGAUGCAUUUGCACUUGCCAUAGUUCCACCUGGUAAUAAUCUGGUAUCAAGCAGUUGGGAUUUGAGUGCAAUUGGAAGGUUUUGUUCAUGAUAGAUGCUACAAUCCCUGAAACCUUUAGAAGGAUAGGGUCAAGUAUUCAUUAACUGAACUUUUUUAUGCAUAAUCUUUGGAUAACCUUGCAAGGUCCAUUCUGCAGCUCGAGUUAUUUUGUUAAGUUGUUAGUAUGGAAAUCUUCUCUUGUUUCAAUUUGGUGCGAGUGUGGUUUGUUUUACCUUAAUGCUCUUUCUUAAUUUUGAUGGCAUAUUGCUUCUUGUAUUUAAUUGGUAGAAAGUUGCAGAGAAGUAACAACUACUGAAGAAAAGCUUAGGAGAUGGAGACUUCGGUGGCCUCAAGGAGUUGCAUAAGACAGUUUUAGAGCUUUCUGCACCAUCCCAACAAGAAAUGCAACAGGGUUAGUUACUCCAACUAUUGCCGCGGGUUUAGGUGCCUUAACACAUACAUCGGGCACCCUCGUCCUUGUGAUAGGAGCAAGUAGAUUUGCUACAGCUGGAGCUGCAACUACUAUAAGAACUGCUGUCGGUAGUUUUAGAUAAUCUCUUAAUAGUUGUCGAUAUGUUUAAAAAGUUAGAUAUUCAUAGUUUUGGAUGGUUUAAACUUUUUGUACAAUUUAGAACUUAAGGAUAUAAUUUUUGAAUGAUUGGAAUGUAUAGAUAAUUGUUGGAUGUUUAUAAUUUAUGGAUAUAAUUUCUUUUUGAUGUUUCAAACAAUAUUUUGGUGGUUGAUUGAUGUUUUGUGAUGCUUGUUUGUAAUAUUUGUUGGAUUGUACAAAAUUGGCCAAA